GACGAACGCUGGCGGCGUGCUUAACACAUGCAAGUCGAACGGUGAAGCGCCUUCCUUUUUGGUGGGUGUGGAUGAGUGGCGAACGGGUGAGUAACACGUGAGUAACCUGCCCCCUUCUUCUGGAUAACCGCAUGAAAGUGUGGCUAAUACGGGAUAUUCUGGGUCUGUCGCAUGAUGGGUCUGGGAAAGAUAUUGUUUCGGUGGGGGAUGGGCUCGCGGCCUAUCAGCUUGUUGGUGGGGUGAUGGCCUACCAAGGCGGUGACGGGUAGCCGGCCUGAGAGGGUGGACGGUCACACUGGGACUGAGACACGGCCCAGACUCCUACGGGAAGCAGCAGUGGGGAAUAUUGCACAAUGGGCGCAAGCCUGAUGCAGCGACGCCGCGUGAGGGAUGGAGGCCUUCGGGUUGUGAACCUCUUUCGCCAGUGAAGCAGGCCUGCCUCGUUUGUGGGUGGGUUGACGGUAGCUGGAUAAGAAGCGCCGGCUAACUACGUG
rnacentral:rRNA from 1 species